rnacentral:rRNA from 1 species
UUUUACCUACGGGGCGCAGCAGUGAGGAAUAUUGGUCAAUGGGCGGAAGCCUGAACCAGCCAAGUCGCGUGAGGGAAGAAGGCCCUGCGGGUCGCAGACCUCUUUGGACGGGGAGCAGGGCCGCCGACGUGUCGGCGGAAGGAGAGUACCCGUAGAACAAGCAUCGGCUAACUCCGUGCCAGCAGCCGCGGUAAUACGGAGGAUGCGAGCGUUAUCCGGAAUUACUGGGCGUAAAGGGUGCGUAGGUGGUUUCUUAAGUCAGAGGUGAAAGGCUACGGCUCAACCGUAGUAAGCCUUUGAAACUG